rnacentral:rRNA from 1 species
AACGAACGCUGGCGGCAUGCCUAACACAUGCAAGUCGAACGAGAUCUUCGGGUCUAGUGGCGCACGGGUGCGUAACGCGUGGGAAUCUGCCCUUUGGUUCGGAAUAACAGUUGGAAACGACUGCUAAUACCGGAUGAUGACGAAAGUCCAAAGAUUUAUCGCCAGAGGAUGAGCCCGCGUAGGAUUAGCUAGUUGGUGUGGUAAAGGCGCACCAAGGCGACGAUCCUUAGCUGGUCUGAGAGGAUGAUCAGCCACACUGGGACUGAGACACGGCCCAGACUCCUACGGGAGGCAGCAAUGGGGAAUAUUGGACAAUGGGCGAGAGCCUGAUCCAGCAAUGCCGCGUGAGUGAUGAAGGCCUGAGGGUUGUAAAGCUCUUUUACCCGGGAUGAUAAUGACAGUACCGGGAGAAUAAGCUCCGGCUAACUCCGUGCCAGCCGCCGCAGUAA